rnacentral:rRNA from 1 species
UACGGAAGGCAGCAGUGGGGAAUAUUGCACAAUGGGCGCAAGCCUGAUGCAGCCAUGCCGCGUGUAUGAAAAAGGCCUUCGGGUUGUAAAGUACUUUCAGUCGUGAGGAAGGUGUUAAGGUUAAUAACCUUAGCAAUUGACGUUAGCGACAGAAGAAGCACCGGCUAACUCCGUGCCAGCAGCCGCGGUAAUACGGAGGGUGCGAGCGUUAAUCGGAAUUACUGGGCGUAAAGGGCACGCAGGCGGUUAAUUAAGUUGGAUGUGAAAUCCCCGGGCUUAACCUGGGAAUGGCAUUCAAGACUGGUUAGCUAGAGUCUUGUAGAGGGGGUAGAAUUCCAUGUGUAGCGGUGAAAUGCGUAGAGAUGUGGAGGAAUACCGGUGGCGAAGGCGGCCCCUGGACAAAGACUGACGCUCAUGUGCGAAAGCGUGGGGAGCAAA